AACGAACCCUGGCGGCAUGCCUAACACAUGCAAGUCGAACGAGACCUUCGGGUCUAGUGGCGCACGGGUGCGUAACGCGUGGGAACCUGCCCUUAGGUUCGGAAUAACUCCCCGAAAGGGGUGCUAAUACCGGAUAAUGUCUUCGGACCAAAGAUUUAUCGCCUUUGGAUGGGCCCGCGUUGGAUUAGCUAGUUGGUAGGGUAAAAGCCUACCAAGGCGACGAUCCAUAGCUGGUCUGAGAGGAUGAUCAGCCACACUGGGACUGAGACACGGCCCAGACUCCUACGGGAGGCAGCAGUGGGGAAUAUUGGACAAUGGGCGAAAGCCUGAUCCAGCAAUGCCGCGUGAGUGAUGAAGGCCUUAGGGUUGUAAAGCUCUUUUACCCGGGAUGAUAAUGACAGUACCGGGAGAAUAAGCUCCGGCUAACUCCGUG
rnacentral:rRNA from 1 species